CCUACGGGUGGCAGCAGUGAGGAAUAUUGGUCAAUGGCCGGAAGGCUGAACCAGCCAAGCCGCGUGAAGGACGAAGGUGCCAAGCAUUGUAAACUUCUUUUGUCAGGGAGCAAUUGGGUCCACGCGUGGGCUUAGCGAGAGUACCUGAAGAAAAAGCAUCGGCUAACUCCGUGCCAGCAGCCGCGGUAAUACGGAGGAUGCGAGCGUUAUCCGGAUUUAUUGGGUUUAAAGGGAGCGUAGGUGGAUUGUUAAGUCAGUUGUGAAAGUUUGCGGCUCAACCGUAAAAUUGCAGUUGAAACUGGCAGUCUUGAGUACAGUAGAGGUGGGCGGAAUUCGUGGUGUAGCGGUGAAAUGCUUAGAUAUCACGAAGAACUCCGAUUGCGAAGGCAGCUCACUGGACUGCAACUGACACUGAUGCUCGAAAGUGUGGGUAUCAAACAGGAUUAGAUACCCCUGUAGUC
rnacentral:rRNA from 1 species